UACGUAGGGGGCAAGCGUUGUCCGGAAUUAUUGGGCGUAAAGAGCGCGUAGGCGGUCCGAUAAGUCGGCUGUGAAAGUCAGGGGCUCAACCCUUGAAAGCCGGCCGAUACUGUCGGACUAGAGUCCGGAAGAGGCGAGUGGAAUUCCCGGUGUAGCGGUGAAAUGCGCAGAUAUCGGGAGGAACACCAAUGGCGAAGGCAGCUCGCUGGGACGGUACUGACGCUGAGGCGGCGAAAGCG
rnacentral:rRNA from 1 species